ensembl:snoRNA small nucleolar RNA SNORA84
GCCUGGUGGUUCCUAGAGACAGCUGCCCCGUGCUGUUCUGUGGGUUUUGAUUGACAGGCAAAUAUUAAUAUCAGCGAUUUUAUGCAUGGACGCUGCUAUUCCAAGUAGCUUCCAUAGCCCGGUUGCUGAGACAGUG